rnacentral:misc_RNA from 1 species
GAUGAAGAACGUAGCAAAAUGCGAUAAGUAAUGUGAAUUGCAGAAUUCAGUGAAUCAUCGAGUCUUUGAACGCACAUUGCGCCCCCUGGUAUUCCGGGGGGCAUGCCUGUCCGAGCGUCAUUGCUGCCCUCAAGCACGGCUUGUGUGUUGGGCCUCCGCCCCCCGGCUCCCGGGGGGCGGGCCCGAAAGGCAGCGGCGGCACCGCGUCCGGUCCUCGAGCGUAUGGGGCUUCGUCACCCGCUCCGUAGGCCCGGCCGGCGCCCGCCGGCGACCCCCCUCAAUCUUUCCAGGUUGACCUCGGAUCAGGUAGGGAUACCCGCUGAACUUAAGCAUAUCAAUAAGCGGAGGA